rnacentral:rRNA from 1 species
UAAGACAGAGGUGCCAAGCGUUAGGCGGAAUCACUGGGCUUAAAGCGUGUGUAGGCGGAUUGCUAAGUACCUUGUGAAAUCCCACGGCUCAACCGUGGAACUGCUGGGUAUACUGGUUAUCUUGAGCCACUUAGGGGCGAGCGGAACAAAUGGUGGAGCGGUGAAAUGCGUAGAUAUCAUUUGGAACGCCAAUGGUGAAAACAGCUCGCUGGGAGUGCGCUGACGCUGAGACACGAAAGCCAGGGGAGCGAACGGGAUUAGAUACCCCGGUAGUCCUGGCCGUAAACGAUGUCGACUAGAUCGUGGUACCUCUGACGGUAUCACGGUCGAAGCAAAAGUGCUAAGUCGACCGCCUGGGAAGUACGGUCGCAAGGCUA